rnacentral:rRNA from 1 species
UACAGAGGUGGCAAGCGUUGUUCGGAAUUACUGGGCGUAAAGGGCGAGUAGGCGGCGUUCUAAGUCAGACGUGAAAUCCCCCGGCUUAACCUGGGAACUGCGUCUGAUACUGGGAGGCUAGAGUUUGGGAGAGGGAUGUAGAAUUCCAGGUGUAGCGGUGAAAUGCGUAGAUAUCUGGAGGAAUACCGGUGGCGAAGGCGGCAUCCUGGACCAAUACUGACGCUGAUCCGCGAAAGCUAGGGGAGCAAACGGG